AUUGAACGCUGGCGGCAGGCCUAACACAUGCAAGUCGAGCGGAGCGACGGACGGGUGGGUAAUUCCUAGGAAUCUGCCUGGUCGUGAGGGAUAGAGUCCGGCAGGGGACGCUACUUCCUCAUACUAUCAGUUGAGCCUAGUGCGGAUUAGCUAGUUGGUGGGUUAAAGGCUUACCAAGGCGACGAUCCGUACCUGGUCUGAGAGGAUGAUCAGUCACACUGGAACUGAGACACGGUCCAGACUCCUACGGGAGGCAGCAGUGGGGAAUAUUGGACAAUGGGCGAAAGCCUGAUGCAGCCAUGCCGCGUGUGUGAAGAAGGCCUUCGGAUUGUAAAGCACUUUAAGUCGGGAGGCGUUACCAACAGAAGAAGCACCGGCUAACUCCGUGCCAGCAGCCGCGGUAAUUC
rnacentral:rRNA from 1 species